rnacentral:lncRNA from 1 species
GGACAGGGAGAGAGCGUGGUACUAAGUGGUUCAGGAUUCCGCGAGACGACAGCCCAGUCUACCAGUCCAUUUGUGGCAUGUGAGAGCUUUGUUGACAUGAGGUCUGACCCGGAGAUCCUUCAUUCAUGACUGCAGUGAACCUUUCCCACCUUAUGGUUCACAGGGUCAAGGGGUAACCAAAGCGGCUUCCAGGAGAACAUCCAGUCUAGUCGGGGGUGACGAGAGUGAGAGUGUAAAGGAGAGCUCCUGUUCCCUGGCACUGCCUGAAGGGACCCCAGUCGACAGCCACAAGCAACCUGUGAAGGGUGCUGCGGAGAUUCCAUGCCCUACUGUCAAUGAGUCAAGUCCAACCAGCAGUGACGAAAGUGACGGCGAAAAGGAGAGCGCUUGUUCCUCGGCCCCACCUACUUCUGCAGGCACUUCAUCCACCUUUGCGGCAAAGUCUCGCCGGCCAAAAGAAAUCAUCAAG